rnacentral:piRNA from 1 species
UACAGUGUGGGUGGGGCUGUAUGGG